AAUUAGUYUUUUAAUUAAAGAAUAGGAUGAAUGAUGAAAUCUUAAAAUAAUUGUAUUUUUUUUUAUUUUUGAAAUUAAAUUUUUAAUGAAAAUUUUAAAUUAAAUAUUUUAGACGAUAAGACCCUAAAAGCUAUUUAAGAUAAAUAAUAAUUUUUAUAAAAAUUAAAUCUUUUUAUUUGGGGUAAAAAUUAAUAAUUACUAUUAAUAUAAAUUUAAAAUAUUUGAUCCUAAUUUUUUAUUGGAAUAAAUGUAUAAGCUACUUUAGGGUUAACAGCAUAAUUACUAAAAAA
rnacentral:rRNA from 1 species